AGAAGGGCCCUUUUCAGGGCCACAAAAUCUUUGAAAAAUAUCCGA
rfam:Oikopleura dioica, whole genome shotgun assembly, reference scaffold set, scaffold scaffold_580